AUUUGUGGAUUUUUGUGUAAAAGUUUUUAGUAUACUUUGUGUAGAGAGAGAAUUAAAAUAGUUAUUGUUGAUAGGAUUCAUACAAGAUUCAACAUUGGAGAAGCUAUUAUAUAAAAUCUUUCAACAUAAAUAUGAGAAUGAAGGGAUUUUUUAUGGUUGCUAUUGUAUUGUGUAAACUUUUAUGUUAUUGCAAAUCUCAAGAACAAUCAGUAAAAUUAUCAAGAGAUGAACUUCUUGAAAUAGAGAAUCAACUUGAGCGACUGAACAAAUCAUCAAUCAAAACUAUAAAACACAACAUGGAGAUAUUUAUGAUUGUAUUGAUUUUUACGAACAACCAGCAUUUGAUCAUCCUUUGUUGAAGAAUCACAAAUAUGAUUUUCAAAUGGGACCUUCUUCUCAUCCCAAUCCGAUGGUUAGGGAAAACAAACCUCCAAAAAAUGUGAAACAAGUAUCGAUAAAUAAUGGGUUAAAAGGUGAAAAAUGUCCAGCUGGGUUCAUUCCAAUAAGAAGAAUUACCAAGGAAGAUCUUAUCAGAGCCAAAUUAUUUACAAAGUCAUAUACUUCAAGAAUUAAUUCUCCUCCUACUUUUCAUCAUGCACUUGUUUACACAUCCGAUCCAACCAAGAAAUACAAUGGAGGUGGAACAUUUGCAAGUUUUUACACACUAUAUAAUGUCACUGGCUCACAAUAUACUUUUGGUCGAAUAAAAUUGCAAAAUGGACUUGAUAUCAUUCAAGCUGGUUGGGGAGUAAAUCCUAGUGUAUACGGGGAUAAUAAGACUCGGAUCUUCAUAUAUUUUCAGGUUACCCUAAUUUUAUAUUAUUAUUUAAGGGUUUUUCAUAUUCGUUGUGUAAUUAUGUGUUAGGCUAUUUUUAGCCUAUGUUUUGGAUCCAAUUUAUGUGCAUUCUUAGCUGUGUUGGGACGGAAUUACGCUUGUUUUCUAUGUUUUCAGGUUCUUUGGAGUAAAAGAGGUCUCGGGUGCAGAAAUUCAUUGAAAGACGUGCUGAGCCGAAGAAAAACUUCAUUUUUGAGUUUUUGCAUAUCUGGCCGCGGCGAUGAAGAGUCUCGCCGCGGCGAGAUACGAGAUACAGAGAGAGGCUGAAAUUGGCACAUUCUCGCCGCGGCGAGAGGAAGCUUGGCCGCGGCGAGAUCCCGUACGGACCAGGGGUAUUUUCGUCCAUCGAACCCUAAAUUUCAAGUAUAAAUAGAAAACUGCGAUUGGAAUUCAGGGAGAGCGAUUUGGAACCCUAAAACACAGCUGAGAGCGGCAGGAAGAGCAUAGAGAUUCAAGUGAAGAUCCAGAAUUCAUCCUCAAACAGUUCUUUUCUUUAUUCCUCUUUAAUUUAUUUAUGUUGAAUAUUGCUAUAGGAAUGGUUAUGGAUUUGUUUCUGAACUAAAUUUCCCAUUUAGGGAGGAUGAUGAUUGUUGUUUAAUGUUUUGCCUAGUUAAUGUUUAAUUACCAUUCCUCAAUUCUUGUGUGUGAAAUUAUCUUAGUUUGUGUUUAAUUUCAUGUUUAAGAUUGAUCACCUUGUGCAUGUUCUAUGAUCUCAAUUCAAAAUCUGAAAAGUGAGAAUUGAGAAUGCUAAAAUUAAGAUAAUCAAUGUUCUAUGU